rnacentral:lncRNA from 1 species
UGGGUUGGAGACCUGCCCUUGAGCCAAUGGCCGACCUUUAUCAGUUUUGAGGUGACUAACUCCAUGAGGAUUGUUGAUCUUCUCCUUAUAGAUGGUAGGAGGGUGAAUCGGGCAGUAGUGUCUCAUCUAAGGGAGCAGCUGGGGGAAUGGGUGACAUCCCUUGUGAUUCCUCUUCAUAGCGAACAAGAUGUCAGGGUUUGAAGAUAUUUCUACACUCCGAGGGUUAUGAUGGCUGAUCUCUACCUG